rnacentral:tRNA from 1 species
GGCGCCAUAGCCAAGUGGUAAGGCAGAGGUCUGCAAAACCUCGAUUCACCAGUUCAAAUCUGGUUGGCGCCUCCA